GUAACUAUGCACGUCUUGACGGUACCUAAUCAGAAAGCCACGGCUAACUACGUGCCAGCAGCCGCGGUAAUACGUAGGUGGCAAGCGUUAUCCGGAAUUAUUGGGCGUAAAGCGCGCGUAGGCGGUUUUUAAGUACUGAUGUGAAAGACCCACCGGCGUCAACCGUACGGAGGGUCGAUUGGUAAACGUAGGAAAACGUUAAGUGUGCAGAAAGGAAGGAAAGGUAGGAAGUUACCUACUGUGUAGCGGUGAAAUAGCGUAGAGAUUUGGUAGGAACACCAGUGGCGAAGGCGACGCGGCCGAGUCGUGGAGGCAAGGCGACACAGGGGAGUAGG
rnacentral:rRNA from 1 species